GUGCUUGGUUUGGCACCACGUAUAGAAUAACUGGAAUGAUCCUGAGAAGAUGAGAAUGACCCCUGCACAAGGAUGACUUACUAUGAAGGCAUAGUAAUCAAGACAUU